ACCAUUCACAUUGUUCGCCAAAGAACCAAUCGCACCACCGGCGCCUCCAUCACCACCACCACCACCAUUCACUUGGUUUAAUUUGCCGAAGUACCACCGCAAUAUCGAACCCAUCCCCUCCGCCAUCAGCACCACCACCACCAUUGCCAAACUGACCACCCAUGCCGAACUCUCCACCACCCAUGCCGAAGCCGCCACCACAACCACC
rnacentral:lncRNA from 1 species